GCACUGCUGACGUGUUUCAAACAGAACGAAACAGUUGUCCAGUGC
rnacentral:hammerhead_ribozyme from 1 species